rnacentral:rRNA from 1 species
GAUGAACGCUGGCGGCGUGCCUAAUACAUGCAAGUCGAGCGAACCAAAGAGAGCUUGCUCUCUGAGGUUAGCGGCGGACGGGUGAGUAACACGUGGGUAACCUGCCUGUAAGACGGGGAUAACUUCGGGAAACCGAAGCUAAUACCGGAUGAUAAAGAGAAACGCCUGUUUCUUUUUUGAAAGUCGGCCUUGUGCUGACGCUUACAGAUGGGCCCGCGGCGCAUUAGCUAGUUGGUGAGGUAACGGCUCACCAAGGCGACGAUGCGUAGCCGACCUGAGAGGGUGAUCGGCCACACUGGGACCGAGACACGGCCCAGACUCCUACGGGAGGCAGCAGUAGGGAAUCUUCGGCAAUGGACGAAAGUCUGACCGAGCAACGCCGCGUGAGCGAUGAAGGCCCUCGGGUCGUAAAGCUCUGUUGUCAGAGAAGAACAAGUACCGGAGUAACUGCCGGUACCUUGACGGUACCUGACCAGAAAGCCACGGCUAACUACGUGCCAGCCGCCGCGGUAAGAC